GAGGGUCGGCACAGACAAAAGACGGCUUGUUAGCGUUCAAAUGUUUUGCUCUCCAGACUUGAGCUGAGACGUCUUAACCCCAAGCAGAACACAGCGGGGCCUUGUGUUUCACGGUGCUUCGUAAUCUGACACCAAAAUAACGCUGCGAAUGUGUCAAUAUGAAAGACUUCCCUGUUUGAAGUGGAACUGCAAUUUUUCCCAAAAUCAUUUACUUAAACGCGAUGAUUUUACGCGGCACGGUGGGCGACCGGUUAGAGCAUCUGCCUCACAGUCCUGCGGACCGGGUUUCAUACGAUUUCUAAUCAAUGAAAGUGAAAGAGGCACACCAACGAUGGUACACCGUUUGAGCUGGGGGAGUGGGCACGUUGCCUUGCUCAAGGGCAUGGCGAUAGUAGUCAGGAAGUAGACUAGCAACUCUCCGACAACUCAUUGAUCUUGUUACAUUCAUUGACGGAGGGACCUGAACCGUGACCGCCCGUCCUCCCAGCUCUCCACCGUUGCAAACAACCGCCACAAUGACGCACAUUCGUUUCCGAUCUCUCUUGACGUCAUCAUCAUUUUUCACGCAGCUCUCGAUCAGAUCUCGUUAGACUGCGCAAAUCGCGACAGAAAUGAUCAGAAAGAACCUUAUGAAAGUGAACAACGGAAAGGCAACAACGUACGGCAGAUCUCGGAAACGUGUUCUGCACCCACCUGCUCUGUCUCCCUUCAUGGCGUCCCAGAUGUUGCAGUUGAAGUCGUCGUA